UGGGCUUGUAGCUCAGUGGACUAGAGCACGUGGCUACGAACCACGGUGUCGGGGGUUCGAUUCCCUCCCUGCCCGA
rnacentral:tRNA from 1 species